AUACUGGAAAUUCCAUCUCCUAUAACUGCUACACUGCAAGAGGAGAAUGGAGAACUGACAUCUCCACUGAUUCUUAUCUCCUGAAAUAUUGGCUCCUGCAAGAAUGCCAGUGGCAGCUGGGAAAAAAAUGGCAAACACCGAAAAAAAUCCUUCUCCACUUCUGAAAUCUGGUCCAAAGUUUUCUGCAAAUAUUGAUGCUGAAAAUAGAGUAAGAAUGAAAUAUCACAACAGGAUUUGAUUCCAAAGUUACUUAAUGAAGGAGCAACAGAGAUGCCAAGAAGACACACCACAGUGAUGGUCCCUAUGAUUCUGAUGUCGUUGGACUCAUCUACCAUCAGUGUAUCACUCUCCUGAAAGUGGUUAGAAAUGUUAGAAAUGAGAACCAGCCUUUCUCUGCUCUGCUGGUGGGAUCAAGUAACAAGGGCUUAGACCAGACCAGUUAAAACUGAAAGGCUCUGAAAUGCACCAAAACUUUGUUUCACAAAAUACCUGAUAUGGAGUUUUACAGCCAAAUUAUUUGCCUGUCUUCCAAGGAGAGGCUGAAAUUUAAGGAGUGUUAAAAAGAAGGCAUUAAACUGAAGAUAUCCACUCAUCUGCAUCAGUCUUCAAAAUGACAGGAAGAGGUGUCUCAUGCUCAGUUUGUUGAAGAAUGUCCAACCUGGAAUGCUCUGAAU